rnacentral:rRNA from 1 species
GACGAACGCUGGCGGCGUGCUUAACACAUGCAAGUCGAACGGAAAGGCCUUUUCGGAGGUACUCGAGUGGCGAACGGGUGCGUAACACGUGGGUGAUCUUCCCUGCACUCUGGGAUAAGCCUGGGAAACUGGGUCUAAUACCGGAUAGGACCGCACUUUUGUGUGUGUGGUGGAAAGUUUUUUCGGUGUAGGAUGAGCCCGCGGCCUAUCAGCUUGUUGGUGGGGUAAUGGCCUACCAAGGCGGCGACGGGUAGCCGGACUGAGAGGUUGGUCGGCCACAUUGGGACUGAGGUACGGCCCAGACUCCGACGGGAGGAAGCAGGGGGGAAUAUUGCACAAGGGGCGCAAGCCUGAUGCAGCGACGCCGCGUGGGGGAUGACGGCCUUCGGGUUGUAAACUCCUUUCGCCAGGGACGAAGCGUUUUGUGACGGUACCUGGAGAAGAAGCACCGGCUAACUACGUG